UACGAAGGGGGCUAGCGUUGCUCGGAAUUACUGGGCGUAAAGGGCGCGUAGGCGGCCCGCUAAGUCGAACGUGAAAUCCCCAGGCUUAACCUGGGAACUGCGUCCGAUACUGGCAGGCUUGAAUCCGGGAGAGGGAUGUGGAAUUCCAGGUGUAGCGGUGAAAUGCGUAGAUAUCUGGAGGAACACCGGUGGCGAAGGCGGCAUCCUGGACCGGCAUUGACGCUGAGGCGCGAAAGCUAGGGGAGCAAACGGG
rnacentral:rRNA from 1 species